rnacentral:lncRNA from 1 species
CCUUUCUCCUGGAAGGUCGGGGCCACACCGUUUCCAAGAGCGCGCGCUCAUUCGGGGACCGGCGGCUCGAGGUCAGAGCGUGCUGUGGGCUGUUCCAGAUUCACGAGGCUUUCUGGGGAGAAAGACACGAAUUCAGGGAAACGGAGACGCAGCUACAAUCUGGCACAAAUCUACGGAAUGUUGGGACUCUGGUGGAAUGACCGGGGACCCGGCCAGUGCUCCGCUGGGACUUCUUGGAGCCAGAGGCAGAAGGUUACAAAUAUAUUGAAAGGAAAAGUCAGAUACUCUACGUAAGGCAAUGAACAGACUUUAAACCACCAAUGGUAGCCAGUAGCUAUUACCUCAGAGAUUCAAAAGCUUGUGCAGGAGCAGCCCUGAUAUAGAUGAUACCCAGAUGAAUAUAUAGAACAUUUUCAGAAUCUCAAAAAUCUUGCUGUGCCUUCUCCCACUGCAUAGUCCCAGGCCAAAGCAUCAGCAGAGUGGCAGGAAGAAAAAGCUGGAGCCUUAAAGGAAUCUAACCUUGAAAGAGUUUAUUCCCAAUGGAACAUUCUACUCAGCUUCCUGCAAGAUUCUACCUUCACCUGAGGUGACCUAGGCUCCUAUUUUCUCUGUUCGGAGAACUCACUGCAAAGACAUUCAUGUGGCACCAGACCUACUUUCUCUUCAGAAAAGUCACCUACACAAGCCUCCUUUCGUGGAUAGCUUUCCGGACCGGUUACAACAAGAUCCUUUCUCUGAGGAGUGGGUUAGAGCAGCCAAGGAGGCGGACAUCUUAUAGUUCAUGGAGCUAGGAAGAUGCUUCUCAGUGCACCUUUGAGAUCCACUAAGUCAUAGGUCACUCUGGCCUCCUUGCUUCUGGCUACCACCCUCUGACUGGACGUUUUCCAAGGUUCCAAGUGAUGGCUUCAAAAAAGUUUCAGCGAUGUGAAGACCUGGACAGUGGCCUCCUGAAUGACUGCGGGAGUAUCCCCAUAACACAGCCAUGGGUCCAUCAGGCUGUCCGUGACCCUGCCCUACUCUCUCCCUCUGGGGGCGUGUUUCCUCAGGUUAGCCAGAAAGUCCUCCUGCAUCCCCUGCUCCCUGAAAAAUUUCUCUCAAAGAAAUGUUUCCAUAAAAUCAGAGGAAUUGAAA